rnacentral:rRNA from 1 species
ACUGCGAAUGGCUCAUUAAAUCAGUUAUCGUUUAUUUGAUAGUACCUUACUACAUGGAUAACCGUGGUAAUUCUAGAGCUAAUACAUGCUAAAAACCUCGACUUCGGAAGGGGUGUAUUUAUUAGAUAAAAAACCAAUGCCCUCCGGGGCUCCUUGGUGAUUCAUAAUAACUUCUCAGAUCGCAUGGCCUUGCGCCGGCGACGGUUCAUUCAAAUUUCUGCCCUAUCAACUUUCGAUGGUAAGGUAUUGGCUUACCAUGGUUUCAACGGGUAACGGGGAAUUAGGGUUCGAUUCCGGAGAGGGAGCCUGAGAAACGGCUACCACAU